CAUCAAAGGUUGACCUCGGAUCAGGUAGGGAUACCCGCUGAACUUAAGCAUAUCAAUAAGCGGAGGAAAAGAAACCAACAGGGAUUGCCCUAGUAACGGCGAGUGAAGCGGCAACAGCUCAAAUUUGAAAUCUGGCGCAAGCCCGAGUUGUAAUUUGUAGAGGAUGCUUCUGGGCAGCGGCCGUUCUAAGUUCCUUGGAACAGGACGUCAUAGAGGGUGAGAAUCCCGUAUGUGACCGGCGCGCACCCUCCACGUAGCU
rnacentral:rRNA from 1 species